rnacentral:rRNA from 1 species
CCUACGGGUGGCAGCAGUGGGGGAUAUUGCACAAUGGGGGGAACCCUGAUGCAGCGACGCCGCGUGGGUGAAGGAGCGUUUCGGCGCGUAAAGCCCUAUCGGCAGGGAAGAAGGAGGACGGUACCUGUCUACGAAGCCUUGGCUAACCAUGCACCAGCAGCCGCGGGAAUACGGAGGGGGCAAGCGUUAUCCGGAAUGACUGGGUGUAAAGGGGACGCAGACGGCUGGGCAAGGGAGGGGGGAAAGCCCGGGGCGCAACCCCGGGACUGCUCCUGAAACUGCGCGGCUGGAGUGCGGGAGGGGCAGGCGGAAUUGCUGGUGUAGCGGUGAAAUGCGUAGAUAUCAGGAGGAACACCAGUGGCGAAGGCGACCAGCUGGAAUGCGACUGACGUUGAGGACCGAAAGCGUGGGGAGCAAACAGGAUUAGAUACCCCAGUAGUC